UGCAUUCCCUGCCCUAAUGAGCUCAUUGGCCAAGACUAGGGUGUGGCCCUACAAGGUGAGGUUUGGAUGAUGACAGCCGUAACAGUCCUUGGCAGCUCUGGCACUGCCUUGGAGUCUGACUUCAGGCUCUCAGUCCUCCUUCUUCAUAUUACUGGUCCCAUGCCAGUAGUUCAAGUUGGCCCUAAAAUCAUCCUCCUGGACAACUUUACUUCUAUGAAGUUUGGAAUAACUGUCUGAGUAUGCAAAAUAACCCACAGACAGAAUGGAUACAGCCUCUAUUAUGGUUCUAAGUAUGUCUUCCUUCUCCUGGUUUGGAUUAAAUCCUCCUGAUACUAUCAUCCAGGCCUCAGAACAGGGAAGCUGAUUUGGGGACUGCUGCUCACUGUGACUUGUGUGGAAUCAGAAAUUUUCUUCAGUUGCCCGGUUCUGUACAGACAAGCCUGUAAGUUAUCAUGAGACUCUCAACAGCUCGGGUAUAGAUAGCCAAAACCAGUUAUAAGAAAUGAUGAGUAGUGAUAAAUGUGGUUAUGUUCCGAGCCUCAGGCUCAGAUCUGGACCAUUCAAGAAUUCAAGUGGGGCUGGUUUCGUGGCUCAG